rnacentral:rRNA from 1 species
UACGGGGGGGGCAAGCGUUGUUCGGAAUUACUGGGCGUAAAGGGCUCGUAGGCGGCCAACUAAGUCAGACGUGAAAUCCCCAGGCUCAACCUGGGAACUGCGUCUGAUACUGGAUGGCUUGAAUGCGGGAGAGGGAUGCAGAAUUCCAGGUGUAGCGGUGAAAUGCGUAGAUAUCUGGAGGAAUACCGGUGGCGAAGGCGGCAUCCUGGACCGGCAUUGACGCUGAGGAGCGAAAGCCAGGGGAGCAAACGGG